rnacentral:misc_RNA from 1 species
UGAAAUCCACUGCAUUGGAGACGUCGGAUUCUUUUGUGACAUCGCAGACCACAAAAGAGGCGUUUGGCCCCAGCUCCGAGGCAGUUUCUUGGCCGACCUGAUUUUGUACAUCUGCUAUUACAACUUUGGCACCGUUGUUGAUGAAUUUCGCGGCGGUUUCUUUUCCGAUUCCACUUGCUGCUCCGGUGAUCAGCGCCACCUUGCCUUCAAGUUUUCUCUCAAUGUGAGUGGAGAAGUCUUUAUUGAAAGUUUG